UACGGGGGGGGCAAGCGUUGUUCGGAAUUACUGGGCGUAAAGGGCUCGUAGGUGGCCAACUAAGUCGGACGUGAAAGCCCCGAGCUUAACUUGGGAAUGGCGCUUGUGACUGGUAGGCUGGAGUGUGGCAGAGGGAGGUGGAAUUCCACGUGUAGCAGUGAAAUGCGUAGAGAUGUGGAGGAACACCGAUGGCGAAGGCAGCCUCCUGGGCCAGCACUGACGCUCAUGCACGAAAGCGUGGGGAGCAAACAGG
rnacentral:rRNA from 1 species